GUUACAAUUUUAUAUUAGGGGUAUUCAGACCAGCCUUGUUAAUUCGUUAGUUCGGUAGUUUUUACAUGUAUUUUGUUUUUGUAAAAUUAACAGACUAUCGUUUUACCGAGUAACGAACUAUCCAGCUGGCAAGCUUGAUAAUUGUUUCGUUACUCGGUAAUAUCACAUCAGCUGUUUGCUUGUUGUUUGUUGCUUUAUACAUUUUUAACGAAAAAAUAAGUCUGGUGUUUGUUGCUUAUACAUUUUUAAACGGGGAAAAUAAAUUUGGUGCUUACUACGUGAAUGAGGAAAAAUUUUGCAAAAUGGAACCUCAAAAGAAAAUACGCAGGAGGGCAAAGCCUCAAAUAAUAUGGAAUGAGGAGGAAAACCACUUGGUUCUAGAAUAUUCGCUAGAAAAUGUGAAAAUUGAGAAACCAAACGCCCAAUUGUACUACCAAAAAUUAAUUGAAACAACAAAUAUCGAUGCGACUACGGACAUGUUGCGAUGCAAGGUCCGGUACUGGAAGCAUAUGUAUAUUAAAGCUGAGGAGUAGCGCAAAUCGACGGGUGCUGGAAUAGACGUUGGCGAUGAUGUUUCCUCAAAAAAAGGUAAAUGCGGCUUUAAUGUUGAGUGAAACUUUUUUGGUUUUUCAAUAAUUCUCCGUUCUUUCAGCAAAACUUUCAAAAAUGUGUCCAAAUUAUGAACGGUUUUCGGU